GACGAACGCUGGCGGCGUGCUUAACACAUGCAAGUCGAACGAUGAAGUGGAGCUUGCUCCACGGAUUAGUGUCGAACGGGUGAGGAACACGUGAGAAACCUGCCUCGGAUUUUGGGAUAACAAAUGGAAACGUUUGCUAAUACCAAAUAACGUCGGAGAGUCACAUGACUUUCUGACGAAAGGAAUUCCGAUUCGAGAGGGUCUCGCGGCCUAUCAGCUUGUUGGCGGGGUAAUGGCCCACCAAGGCAACGACGGGUAGCUGGUCUGAGAGGAUGGUCAGCCACACUGGGACUGAGACACGGCCCAGACUCCUACGGGAGGCAGCAGUGGGGAAUCUUGCGCAAUGGGCGAAAGCCUGACGCAGCAACGCCGCGUGCGGGAAGAAGGCUUUCGGGCUGUAAACCGCUUUCAGCAGGAACGAAAAUGACGGUACCUGCAGAAGAAGGAGCGGCCAACUAUGU
rnacentral:rRNA from 1 species